AGAACGAACGCUGGCGGCAUGCCUAAUACAUGCAAGUCGAACGAACUCUUCGGAGUUAGUGGCGCACGGGUGCGUAACGCGUGGGAAUCUGCCCCUUGGUUCGGAAUAACAGUUGGAAACGACUGCUAAUACCGGAUGAUGACGAAGGUCCAAAGAUUUAUCGCCCAGGGAUGAGCCCGCGUAGGAUUAGCUAGUUGGUGAGGUAAAGGCUCACCAAGGCGACGAUCCUUAGCUGGUCUGAGAGGAUGAUCAGCCACACUGGGACUGAGACACGGCCCAGACUCCUACGGGAGGCAGCAGUGGGGAAUAUUGGACAAUGGGCGAAAGCCUGAUCCAGCAAUGCCGCGUGAGUGAUGAAGGCCUUAGGUUGUAAAGCUCUUUUACCGAGAUGAUAAUGACAGUAUCGGAGAAUAAGACCCCCGGCUAAACCUCCGUGCCCAAGCCAGCCGC
rnacentral:rRNA from 1 species